rnacentral:lncRNA from 1 species
UAAUAAUAAAUGGUUGAAAUAUCUAGAUUUUUUCUAGUAGUAAAGAAGACUUUCAAUUAAUUCAUUCUUCUUUGUUCUGUCUGUAGGAAAAAAUUGACAUAGGUUCAUCUUCGUUUACAACGAAUCUAAGGUAUGUCAUUUUUUAUUUUUAGUGUCUAUGCAUGAAAAUUUUAAUGGGCCUCCUCCAGUCGAGCCUAUCACUACAAACGCUUCAAGAUCAAAAUUACGAGAUGUAUCACAAGUAAGAAUCAAUAUUAAUAAUUAUUUAAUCAGAAUAAUGAAAGAAAACAUUUAACGGUCCUAUAAUAAAUUGAAUCAAUUAGGUGAAGACUAUACAAAAGGAGAGGAGGAGAUCAAUAUUACAUACAUAUAUUUAUCUUGAGUAAAAUAAUCUUGAAAAUUCCAAAACAAAUAAGGCCAGGAGCUAGCAAAGAAGAAGACUAUCCUACAGUAGAAUAAUGAAGUUGGAGAAAGUUGUAGCGAGUAGCAUGUGAGUUGUACAAGUAUAAACAUUCUUUUAGUACGACAUUGACUAAGUUUACCAAGAACAUUCGACUUCAAGGAAAGAGCUUGAGGACAUGUUUGGCUACCUAAAAAAAGAUUUUAAGCCAGAACCUUGGGUUGGGAAAGCAUGAAGAGCCAAAAUUCAAUUAUCGAACCAAAGGGACGGCCCAUCAAGUCAGAAGGUGGUUGGGAAAAAAAGGUAAGAAUUAUCAAUGCAGGGGCCUAAGAGAUUUUUUUUUUUACUUGACUAAGGAUUACCUCGCUAGAAAAUAACUACACUCCGCUAUAAAUUAUUCAUUUUAUGAAAACCUCAUUAUUUUUGUAAUUUUGCGAUCGCAUCCUCAAACUUCAUUUCGAAAUGGAUGUACUAGUAAGUUAUCAGUUUAAAAAAAUUAUUAUAUUGAUUUUUAUUGUUGACCACGUGUUAGGUCUAUUUUUUGAAUCUAUUGACCCCGAAAAAUGGAUUUGACACGUGGCCAACAAAAAAUAGCUUCAUGUAAGCUCCUCCUUGCGCACUUGGAGUACACUAUUAGUCAUUUAUGACAUUUUUCGAUGAUGGUGGAAGUGGUCAUGAGCACUCUGACAAUUAAAUCAAUUAAGUGGUAAAUGAAAGUAUGGAAUUUCGGUAGUAGGAAUCACCGGAAUGUAAACAUAAAGUUGAUUUGGGAGGAAACAAUGUAAAAUAAAUGGUUGGAGUUGCAUUACCUUCAUAAUGGCACAAACAUGGGCAUUUAUAAAUGAAGGGGUGAAGAAAGGAUCAUUAGAUGUGAGAUACGUGGCCUUAUCUGUCGAUCAAAGCGUCUCUUCAUAGACAUCAAUCAAUCACUACAUAGGUGGUCUAACAAAACAAAUUAGACUUGACACUUUGGCGUCUGAGGUAAAGGCAUCCUAUCAAUAGUCAUAAGGAUUUUAUCUUGGAUAGAUUUUUGUAUAAAAGAUCUCUUGGUGUAUUGGGAUGGGUGCUAUGUCUCGUAAAAGCAAGCACUGUUCUACCAUGAUCAUUUUGUUGCUUCGCUUCAAUGUAAUCACCUCGAUCGGCACUUCGGAACGCGUGUAGUUUUUAUUGAUAUGCCUUGUAGUUUCGGGGCGUCGGUGUAAUGAUGUGGCAAGUGUGAUGUAGAAGUGUGGGUCUUAGCAUCUGCCACAUGGCAAAUGAUCUGAAAUCUCAUUAGAAGAGGCGUU